rnacentral:rRNA from 1 species
GAUGAACGCUGGCGGCGUGCCUAAUACAUGCAAGUCGAGCGAACGGACGAGAAGCUUGCUUCUCUGAUGUUAGCGGCGGACGGGUGAGUAACACGUGGAUAACCUACCUAUAAGACUGGGAUAACUUCGGGAAACCGUAGCUAAUACCGGAUAAUAUUUUGAACCGCAUGGUUCAAAAGUGAAAGACGGUCUUGCUGUCACUUAUAGAUGGAUCCGCGCUGCAUUAGCUAGUUGGUAAGGUAACGGCUUACCAAGGCAACGAUGCAUAGCCGACCUGAGAGGGUGAUCGGCCACACUGGAACUGGGACACGGUCCAGACUCCUACGGGAGGCAGCAGUAGGGAAUCUUCCGCAAUGGGCGAAAGCCUGACGGAGUAACGCCGCGUGAGUGAUGAAGGUCUUCGGUUCGUAAAACUCUGUUAUCAGGGAAGAACAUAUGUGUAAGUAAAUGUGCACAUCUUGACGGUACCUAAUCAGAAAGCAACGGCUAACUACGUG